rnacentral:rRNA from 1 species
UACAGAGGGUGCGAGCGUUAAUCGGAAUUACUGGGCGUAAAGCGUGCGUAGACGGUUAUUUAAGUCGGGUGUGAAAGCCCCGGGCUCAACCUGGGAAUUGCAUUCGAGACUGAAUAGCUAGGGUACGGUAGAGGGAAGUGGAAUUUCCGGUGUAGCGGUGAAAUGCGCAGAUAUCAGGAAGAACACCUAUGGCGAAGGCAGCUCUCUGGGACGGUACUGACGCUGAGACGCGAAAGCGUGGGGAGCGAACAGG